UGAAUACUCCCUCCGUCUCGAAUUACUUGUCUUAGAUUUGUCUAGAUACCCGUAUCUAGACACAUUUUAGUGUUAGAUGCAUCUGUAUCUAGAUAAAUCUAAGACAAGCUUUUUUAGACGGAAGUAAUAUUUA
rnacentral:pre_miRNA from 1 species